UAGGGAAUCUUCCGCAAUGGACGCAAGUCUGACGGAGCAACGCCGCGUGAGUGAAGAAGGAUUUCGGUUCGUAAAACUCUGUUGUUAGAGAAGAACAGCGCAUAGAGUAACUGUUAUGCGUGUGACGGUAUCUAACCAGAAAGCCACGGCUAACUACGUGCCAGCAGCCGCGGUAAUACGUAGGUGGCAAGCGUUGUCCGGAUUUAUUGGGCGUAAAGCGAGCGCAGGCGGUCAAUUAAGUCUGAUGUGAAAGCCCCCGGCUCAACCGGGGAGGGUCAUUUGAAACUGGUUGACUUGAGUGCAGAAGAGGAGAGUUGAAUUCCAUGUGUAGCGGUGAAAUGCGUAGAUAUAUGGAGGAACACCAGUGGCGAAGGCGACUCUCUGGUCUGUAACUGACGCUGAGGCUCGAAAGCGUGGGUAGCAAACAGG
rnacentral:rRNA from 1 species